GUAGGUGAACCUGCGGAUGGAUCAUUAGUGAAUGUGCGGCGACGGCGCGAGCCCGAGCCAGCCACUCCACCCUUGUGCACUGUACCGUACCCUGGCGGGGGAGCGCUAGCCUGCUAGUUGCCCACCCGCCAAAGGGCGCUUGCGCCCGCCCAACACUCAACGCUGUCUGAACUAUAGAACCAAAUGAUCUAAACAACUUUUGACAACGGAUCUCUUGGCUCUC
rnacentral:misc_RNA from 1 species